UCCUACGGGGCGCAGCAGUGAGGAAUAUUGGUCAAUGGACGGAAGUCUGAACCAGCCAUGCCGCGUGCAGGAAGACGGCUCUAGGAGUUGUAAACUACUUUUGUACAAGGGUAAACCUGAAUACGUGUAUUCAGCUGAAAGUACUGUACGAAUAAGGAUCGGCUAACUCCGUGCCAGCAGCCGCGGUAAUACGGAGGAUCCAAGCGUUAUCCGGAUUUAUUGGGUUUAAAGGGUGCGUAGGCGGAUUGAUAAGUUAGAGGUGAAUUUUCCGAGCUUAACUCGG
rnacentral:rRNA from 1 species